rnacentral:tRNA from 1 species
GCAUUCUUAGCUCAGUUGGAUAGAGCAACAACCUUCUAAGUUGAAGGUCACAGGUUCAAAUCCUGUAGACUGCA